rnacentral:rRNA from 1 species
UACGUAGGGUCCAAGCGUUAUCCGGAAUCACUGGGCGUAAAGCGUGCGUAGGUGGCGUGUUAAGUGUGAUGUUAAAUCGUGGGGCUCAACCCUGUCGGUGCAUCACAUACUGGCAUGCUAGAGGACAGCAGAGGCAAGUGGAAUUUGUAGUGUAGCAGUGAAAUGCGUAGAUAUUACAAGGAACACCAAUGGCGAAGGCAGCUUGCUGGGCUACUCCUGACACUGAGGUACGAAAGCGUGGGGAGCGAACAGGAUUAGAUACCCUGGUAGUCCACGCCGUAAACGAUGCAUACUAGACGUAUGGGGUAUCGACCCCCUGUGCGUCGAAGCUAACGCGAUAAGUAUGCCGCCUGGGAAGUACGGCCGCAAGGCUAAA